rnacentral:rRNA from 1 species
CAGCCGCCACGGUAAUACGGAGGGGGCUAGCGUUGUUCGGAAUUACUGGGCGUAAAGCGCACGUAGGCGGCUUGGUAAGUUAGAGGUGAAAGCCCGGAGCUCAACUCCGGAAUUGCCUUUAAGACUGCCGAGCUUGUAGGUGAGAGAGGUAAGUGGAAUUCCGAGUGUAGAGGUGAAAUUCGUAGAUAUUCGGAAGGACACCAGUGGCGAAGGCGGCUUACUGGCUCAUUCUAGACGCUGAGGUGCGAAAGCGUGGGGAGCAAACAGGAUUAGAUACCCCCGUAGUCCCUGUCUCUUAUAC